UCUUGGUUAAAGGUUUUAGGUGCUUGCAUUUAAAUGAUUUAACAUUGAGACGAGUGGCGAACUGGUGAGUAACACGUGGGUAACCUGCCCUUGAAGUAGGGGAUAACACUUGGAAACAGGUGCUAAUACCGUAUAACAACUCAAACCACAUGGUUUGAGUUUGAAAGAUGGCUUCGGCUGUCACUUUAGGAUGGACCCGCGGCGUAUUAGCUUGUUGGUGAGGUAACGGCUCACCAAGGCAAUGAUACGUAGCCGACCUGAGAGGGUAAUCGGCCACAUUGGGACUGAGACACGGCCCAAACUCCUACGGGAGGCAGCAGUAGGGAAUCUUCCACAAUGGACGAAAGUCUGAUGGAGCAACGCCGCGUGAGUGAUGAAGGGUUUCGGCUCGUAAAACUCUGUUGUUGGAGAAGAACAGGUGUGAGAGUAACUGUUCACAUCUUGACGGUAUCCAACCAGAAAGCCACGGCUAACUACGUGCCAGCAGCCGCGGUAAUACGUAGGUGGCAAGCGUUGUCCGGAUUUAUUGGGCGUAAAGCGAGCGCAGGCGGUUUUUUAGGUCUGAUGUGAAAGCCUUCGGCUUAACCGGAGAAGUGCAUCGGAAACCGGGAGACUUGAGUGCAGAAGAGGACAGUGGAACUCCAUGUGUAGCGGUGAAAUGCGUAGAUAUAUGGAAGAACACCAGUGGCGAAGGCGGCUGUCUGGUCUGUAACUGACGCUGA
rnacentral:rRNA from 1 species